CAACACGUGCUUGUAAUAUUAAGCACCAAUUGCAUCAUUUUCGCUGUCAACUCAAGACAAAUUCGACUCACCGCCUAGCUACUCCGAUCAGCUCCUCCACGCCACGGUGACAACACAUCCAACGCUUACCCGGCCGAGAUCUCGGCAACUCGGGCGUGUUUUCAAACACGGGUUUUAUCUUAAUCUUUUCCUAUGAAUAAAUUGCAUUUACCUGCGUACAGCUCUGAGCCGGAGAUCAAAAGGGUGUGAAUAUUAAUUAGAAUAUUAGAAUCAUGUAAUGUCACAUUAAAAUAAUUUUGUCUCUUCCUAUGUCUACAUUUCCUUUGACUACAAUUCAUCAUUCACAGUACAACCUUUUGAUUUUAACUUUUCAUUGAUGAAUACAGCCAUGUCCUGGGAGCUCAAUUUAAUUAAUAGUUCUUACUGCAAAUCAGACUUGUUAAGAUACACAAAAAGUAGUGAAAGCGAAAAGUACUUGAGCUAGUGAAGCUCUAUGAAAAGGGUUAUUCUGCUUCUCAUUUCUACCAAAUUUGUAGAGAAAUGUCGUCAGAUAAUCAUUAACCUGUCAUUAACAAAGAUCGGGUCAUGAUUUGGGAAUUACCUAUCUUGGUUUUAGGUAAGAUUUAAUUCACAUGUAGUUUAGGCUGCUCAUUUUCCGAUGCAUAAAUUAUUACAAAUAAAAUUCUCAAAGCCUUUGAAAUGCUUAGCCAACUUCACAACAUGUGCUUCUCAGUGCCUC
rnacentral:lncRNA from 1 species